rnacentral:rRNA from 1 species
GUGUCAGCCGCCGCGGUAAUACGGAAGGGGCAAGCGUUGUUCGGAAUCAUUGGGCGUAAAGGGCGCGUAGGUGGUCUUGUAUGUCUACCGUGAAAGCACACGGCUCAACCGUGUUCCGUCGGUGGAAACUGCAGGACUUGAGGCUGGGAGGGGCUGGUGGAAUUCCCCGUGUAGCGGUGAAAUGCGUAGAGAUGGGGGAGAACACUCGUGGCGAAGGCGGCCAGCUAGACCAGCGCUGACACUGAGGCGCGAUAGCGUGGGGAGCAAACAGGAUUAGAAACCCGCGUAGUCC